rnacentral:rRNA from 1 species
AAGUGGCGAACGGGUGAGUAACACGUGAAUAACCUACCUCAAAGUCUGGGAUAACCAUUGGAAACAGUGACUAAUACCGGAUAAAACCCAAGUGCACAUGCACUAAGGUUAAAAGCUGCGUUUGCAGCGCUUUAAGAUGGAUUCGCGGUGCAUUAGUUAGUUGGUGAGGUAAAGGCUCACCAAGACGAUGAUGCAUAGCCGAGUUGAGAGACUGACCGGCCACAUUGGGACUGAGACACGGCCCAAACUCCUACGGGAGGCUGCAGUAGGGAAUCUUCCACAAUGGGCGCAAGCCUGAUGGAGCAACGCCGCGUGUGUGAUGAAGGCUUUCGGGUCGUAAAGCACUGUUGUAUGGGAAGAACGGGUUUAAGAGGAAAUGCUUAGACAGUGACGGUACCAUACCAGAAAGGGACGGCUAAAUACGUGCCAGCAGCCGCGGUAAUACGUAUGUCCCGAGCGUUAUCCGGAUUUAUUGGGCGUAAAGCGAGCGCAGACGGUUGCUUAAGUCUGAAGUGAAAGCCCACAGCUCAACUGUGGAAUGGCUUUGGAAACUGGGCAACUUGAGUACAGUAGAGGUAAGUGGAACUCCAUGUGUAGCGGUGGAAUGCGUAGAUAUAUGGAAGAACACCAGUGGCGAAGGCGGCUUACUGGACUGCAACUGACGUUGAGGCUCGAAAGUGUGGGUAGCAAACAGGAUUAGAUACCCUGGUAGUCCACACCGUAAACGAUGGAUACUAGUUGUUAGAGGGUUUCCGCCCUUUAGUGACGAAGCAAACGCAUUAAGUAUCCCGCCUGGGGAGUACGACCGCAAGGUUGAAACUCAAAGGAAUUGACGGGGACCCGCACAAGCGGUGGAGCAUGUGGUUUAAUUCGAAGCAACGCGAAGAACCUUACCAGGUCUUGACAUCCUUUGAAGGUACUAGAGAUAGUACUGUCUUCUUCGGAAGCAAAGUGACAGGUGGUGCAUGGCCGUCGUCAGCUCGUGUCGUGAGAUGUUGGGUUAAGUCCCGCAACGAGCGCAACCCUUAUGUUUAGUUGCCAGCAUUCAGUUGGGCACUCUAGACAGACUGCCGGUGACAAACCGGAGGAAGGCGGGGACGACGUCAGGUCAUCAUGCCCCUUAUGACCUGGGCUACACACGUGCUACAAUGGCGUAUACAACGAGCAGCAAACCUGUGAAGGUAAGCGAAUCUCUUAAAGUACGUCUCAGUUCGGAUUGUAGUCUGCAACUCGACUACAUGA